CCUACGGGUGGCAGCAGUGGGGAAUAUUGCACAAUGGGCGAAACCCUGACGCAGCAACGCCGCGUGAGUGAGGAAGUAUUUCGGAAUGUAAAGCUCUAUCAGGAGGGAAUAAAAAGGAUGGUACCUGAAAGAGAAGCCCCGGCUAACCACGUUCAAGCAGCGGCGGGAAUACGCAGGGGACAAGCGUUAUCCGGAUGUACUGGGUGUAAGGGGAGCGUAGGCGGCAAGGUAAGUCAGAGGUGAAAACCCAAGGCGCAACCAUGGGACUGCCUUGGAUACUGUCAAACUAGAUUGCGGGAGAGGUAAGAGGAAUGCCUAGUGUAGCGGUGAAAUGCGUAGAUAUCAGGAGGAACACCAGUGGCGAAGGCGUCUUACUGGACCGAAACUGACGUUGAGGCUCGAAAGCGUGGGGAGCAAACAGGAUUAGAUACCCUAGUAGUC
rnacentral:rRNA from 1 species